GAUUUCGAUUGAAGCGACUCAAGGUUGGUGGCGAACGGGUGAGUAACACGUGAACAACCAACCAUAUAGACCGGGACAACUGACGGAAACGACAGCUAAUACCGGAUAAGCUCCAGAGAGGGCAUCCUCAGAGGAGAAAAGUAGGCCUCUCUAAAGAAGCACGCGCUAUAUGACGGAUUCGCGGCUGAUUAGCUAGAUGGUGAGAUAAAAGCCCACCAUGGCGACGAUCAGUAGCCGGCCUGAGAGGGUGAACGGCCACAAUGGGACUGAGACACGGCCCAUACUCCUACGGGAGGCAGCAGUGGGGAAUUUUGCGCAAUGGGCGAAAGCCUGGCGCAGCAACGCCGCGUGAGUGAUGAAGGCUUUCGGGUCGUAAAGCUCUGUCAAGGGGAAAGAAGUGUAUUGUGGUUAAUACCCGCGAUACUUGACGGUACCCCUAAAGGAAGCACCGGCUAACUCCGUGCCAGCAGCCGCGGUAAUACGGAGGGUGCGAGCGUUGUUCGGAAUUAUUGGGCGUAAAGCGCGUGUAGGCGGUUUGUUAAGUCUGAUGUGAAAGCCCCGGGCUCAACCUGGGAAGUGCAUUGGAUACUGGCAGACUUGAAUACGGGAGAGGGCAGUGGAAUUCCUGGUGUAGGAGUGAAAUCCGUAGAUAUCAGGAGGAACACCGGUGGCGAAGGCGGCUGCCUGGACCGAUAUUGACGCUGAGACGCGAAAGCGUGG
rnacentral:rRNA from 1 species